CACCUCGAUGUCGGCUCGUCACAUCCUGGGGCUGGAGCAGGUCCCAAGGGUUCGGCUGUUCGCCGAUUAAAGUGGCACGCGAGCUGGGUUCAGAACGUCGUGAGACAGUUCGGUCCCUAUCCGCCGUGGGCGUAGGAUACUUGAAGGGAGCUCUCCUUAGUACGAGAGGACCGGGAGGGACGCACCGCUAGUGUUCCGGUUGUGGCGCCAGCCGCAUUGCCGGGUAGCUAUGUGCGGACAGGAUAACCGCUGAAAGCAUAUAAGCGGGAAGCCCCCCCUAAGAUAAGGUAUCCCAGGGCCGUCAGGCCCCUUAAGGCCCCUCGAAGACGACGAGGUUGAUAGGCCGGAUGUGGAAGCGCAGCAAUGCGUGGAGCUUACCGGUACUAAUUGGCCGUGCGGCUUGACCACUAU
rnacentral:rRNA from 1 species